rnacentral:rRNA from 1 species
AUGGUCGACACCAGGCGGAGCGCCGCGGCCAAGCGCCCCUCGGACGACGACGACAAGGGCUCGCCGCCGCCGCCGUCCGACCAGGCGCCGGGGGCCGAGGCCCAGUCGUCGGGCGCCCGCAGGCCCGGCAAGCGCGCCAAGGCUACGGCGCCCGAGGAGGAUACCACCAAGACGGCCGCGCCGGCGACAGAUGCGGCCGAGGCGGCGGCUGAGGCGGCUAUCGCCACCGGUCCGCCGGUCGCACCGCCGGACACCACCGGCCUCCAGGCGCUCACCGGCGCCAUGGACAGGCUGGAGGCCUUCCUGAGGUCAGGGGAGGCGGCGUCGAAUUCGGACGGGCAUAAGCGUGGCGCCGCUGACAAAGAUUUAUCCGCAAUGUUGAAGAGGGCCAAGGAUUUGUCUGCCAAGGCCACAUCCAACAAACGCCAGGGCGCACUGGGCAGCAGGCGCCAGGAGCCCUGGUGCAGGCUAAUCUCACAGUAUGCCACGGAUCCUUCCCUUCCUAUUCAUUCCUCCUAUUUUACUGUUGGUUAUGGAGCACAAUAUGAUUUGAGACUGGGCGAGUCAUCUACUAGCUCACUUGUUUGUAAACUGAAGCUUGCUACUAAGCGAGGUGCUCUACUUGAAAUACACGAGCCCAAAGUUGUUCGUGUAAAUGGCAAGGCUUUGGACAAGAAUGCUAAAGUUACCUUAAAUGGAGGGGAUGAAAUUGUCUUCAGUUCACCUUUGAGGCGUGCUUACAUAUUUCAGCAACACCAGCAGGAUAAAUCAAGCACUUCAGCGUUUUCCUCUACUUGCAGUAGUAUCCAUCAGGGGCAACAUUCACUUAUCAAAGAUAUUCAAGAUCAUCUGUCAUCUAAAGGACCCAAAUUACCAUCCUUUUACUUUGGUAAAAGCCGACCUCCAUUGACUCCAUUGACUCCAUUGAUGCCUAUUGGAUCAUCUGCGGAUCCAGAUAUAUUUGGUAGUUUCUGUAAAACAAGGGAGGACCAGUCUAACUCUGAAGAAAGUACACAGUCUGCCCGGUCUCAACUAUCAAAGGAGGAUCUAAAAAAUGCAACACAUGAUGCUAGUGACAUAUCUGAGUCAUUUGAUAAUUUUCCAUAUUAUCUAAGCGAGGAUACCAAAUGUGCUCUUCUGUCAUCAGCAUUUGUGCAUUUACAAUGCAAAGACUAUAUUGAGUUUACCAGACACAUUUCUUCUCUCGGUCAACGAGCAUUGCUAUCCGGUCCGGCAGGGACUGAGAUCUACCAACAAUAUCUGGUGAAGGCACUUGCAAAACAUUUCGGUGCAAGGUUGCUCACAGUCAAUUCUUCAAUGCUGUUCGGUGGGCAGACUUCCAAGGAAUUAGAGUCAUACAAAAAAGGUGAUAGAGUGAGGUACAUUGGUUCAUUACUGCCGACAAACGUUAUCCUUGACGGACAUAGUCCUCCAGAAUUUGGCUCGCUAGGUCAAAUAUGUCUUCCUUUCGAAGAAAAUAGAUCAUCAAAGGUUGGGGUAAGGUUUGAUGAACAAAUCCCAGGAGGUAUUGAUCUUGGAGGCAGUUGUGAAGUUGAUCAUGGCUUAUUUUGUUCAGUUGAUUCUUUAUGCCUCGACAGUCCAGGAUGGGAAAAUAGAUCCAAGCACCCAUUUGAUAUGAUCAUUCAGUUUAUCUCUGAAGAAAUACAGCAUGGUCCUAUGGUCCUAUUUCUGAAGGACACAGAAAAAAUAUGUGGGAAUAAUGAUUCCUAUUAUGGUCUGAAGAGCAAGCUUGAACAUUUCCCGGCAGGUGUCUUUAUUGUUGGUUCUCAUAUCCAGCCUGACAGUCGCAAAGAGAAGGCAAAUGCGGGGUCUCUUUUCCUUUCAAAGUUCCCUUAUAGCCAAGCAAUUCUUGACCUUGCAUUGCAGGACUUGGAUCGAGUACAUGAUAAAAGUAAGGAAAUGUCAAAGGGGAUGAGGCAUCUAACAAAGAUUUUCCCAAAUAAAGUGACGAUCCAACCACCACAAGAUGAAGUUGAGCUUUCACGGUGGAACCAGAUGUUAGAUCAAGAUAUCGAAAUUCUUAAAGCAAAUGAUAACACUUCAAAAAUACGCUCUUUUCUAACGCGGAUUGGCUUGGAAUGCUCUGAUCUUGAGGCAAUAUGUGUCAAGGAUCGCACCCUUACAAAUGAGUGUAUUGAUACAAUAGUUGGUUUUGCUUUGAGCCAUCAACUAAAGCACUUAACAGCUACAAACCCUGACCCUUCAAUUGAUUUGCAGUUUUCCCUAUCUAGUGAAAGUCUGAAGCAUGGAGUUGAUAUGUUGGAAAGUAUCCAGUCUGGCCCUAAGACCAGCAACAAAAGGAAGUCACUUAAGGACAUUGCUACGGAAAACGAAUUUGAAAAGAGGCUUCUUGCCGAUGUUAUACCUCCAGAUGAAAUAGGAGUUACAUUUGAGGACAUCGGAGCACUGGAAAGUGUCAAGGAAACUCUGAAGGAGUUAGUGAUGCUGCCCUUGCAAAGGCCUGAAUUGUUUUCCAAAGGACAACUUAUGAAGCCAUGUAAAGGGAUAUUACUUUUUGGUCCGCCUGGUACGGGGAAGACGAUGCUUGCGAAAUCUGUGGCAACAGAGGCUGGUGCUAAUUUCAUAAACAUAUCAAUGUCAAGUAUAUCCUCAAAGUGGUUUGGUGAAGGAGAGAAGUACGUGAAAGCUGUGUUUUCACUGGCAAGCAAAAUUGCUCCAAGUGUCAUUUUCGUAGAUGAGGUUGAUGGCAUGUUGGGUAGACGUGAGAACCCUGGAGAGCAUGAAGCCAUGCGCAAGAUGAAAAACGAGUUUAUGGUGAACUGGGAUGGGUUAAGAACAAAAGAUAAAGAACGCGUAUUAGUCCUUGCUGCGACUAAUAGGCCAUUUGACCUUGAUGAAGCUGUUAUUAGGAGGCUUCCAAGGAGGUUGAUGGUGAAUUUGCCUGAUGCAUCAAAUAGAAGAAAAAUUAUUAGCCUCAUACUAGCCAAAGAAGAUUUGGCAGAUGACCUUGAUCUUGAAGCCAUUGCUAAUUUGACGGAAGGAUACUCGGGCAGUGAUCUUAAGAAUCUUUGUGUGACUGCUGCUCAUCUUCCUAUUAGAGAGCUCCUUGAAAAGGAGAAAAAGGAGAGAGCUUUGGCAGAAGCAGAAAACAGACCAUUGCCCCAAUCGUGUUCUAGCAGUGAUGUCCGUGCCUUGAGAAUAAGUGAUUUCAAACAUGCACAUGAACAGGUUUGUGCAAGUGUAUCUUCUGAUUCAACGAAUAUGAAUGAGCUUGUUCAGUGGAAUGAUCUCUACGGAGAAGGUGGGUCGAGGAAAACGACAACGCUAAGCUACUUUAUGUAG